CAGCAGCCGCGGUAAUACGUAGGGUGCGAGCGUUAAUCGGAACUACUGGGCGUAAAGCGUGCGCAGGCGGUUGUGUAAGACAGGUGUGAAAUCCCCGGGCUUAACCUGGGAACUGCGCUUGUGACUGCACAGCUAGAGUAUGGCAGAGGGGGGUGGAAUUCCACGUGUAGCAGUGAAAUGCGUAGAGAUGUGGAGGAACACCGAUGGCGAAGGCAGCCCCCUGGGCCAAUACUGACGCUCAUGCACGAAAGCGUGGGGAGCAAACAGGAUUAGAUACCCGUGUAGUCCCUGUCUCUUAUAA
rnacentral:rRNA from 1 species